rnacentral:rRNA from 1 species
GAUUAACGCUGGCGGCGUGCAUAACACAUGCAAGUCGAACGAUGAAACUUAACUGAUUUCUUCGGAAUGAUUUUAAGUGGAUUAGUGGCGGACGGGUGAGUAACGCGUGAGUAACCUGCCUUGGAGAAGGGGAUAGCCUUUGGAAACGAAGAAUAAUACCCUAUGAUAUGAUAAUAUCUCAUGAUAUUAUCAUCAAAGAUUUAUCGCUCUAAGAUGGACUUGCGUCUGAUUAGUUAGUUGGUGAGGUAACAGCUCACCAAGGCAGCGAUCAGUAGCCGGCUUGAGAGAGUGUACGGCCACAAUGGGACUGAGACACGGCCCAGACUCCUACGGGAGGCAGCAGUGGGGAAUUUUGCACAAUGGGGGAAACCCUGAUGCAGCGACGCCGCGUGAUUUAGAAGGCCUUCGGGUUGUAAAAAUCUUUUGUAUGGGAAGAAAAUGACAGUACCAUACGAAUAAGGACCGGCUAAUUACGUG